CCCACUCCUGUAUUCUUGCCUGGGUAAUCCCAUGGACAGAGGAGCCUGGCGGGCUCCAGUCUAUGGGGUCACAAAGAGUUGGACACAACUGAGCCUGUAUGCACAUAUCUUUAAUUUCUUUAAAGGGAGUUCAAUACUGUGUGAUUAAAUUGAUAAUUGUUGUCUUUUACUAUCAUAGAUCUGAAGAAGUUCCCUUCUAGAUACAUACUAUUUACAACAUAAAUUCAGAUGUAAGCAGUCGGUCGUCCAAUGAGAGAAUUCUGAAAAUGUCUUGCCACAAAAGCAUGUUAUUUUUCACCUCUUCUGGUGAAGUGAGUUACACCAAUCAUCCUGGAAGGAGAAUUAUAAUCCAAAGGCGUGACAGUACUGCUUCAUCUCCAUCCAGCCCACCUUCGGGUCAGAUACCAAACCAAAGACUCAACAGAAGCAAAGGAAAAAGGUAAUAGUGACUUCCCUUCACAAACUCCAGCUGAAUCUUCCUUGGAGGAGGACUGCCCUCCCUCCCUGACACCCCGGAACCAUCUCUCCCCAGCUACCUCACUCCAGCCAGUUGGUACCAUCUUCAUGCCCACCCUCUGCCAUGCUCCAGAGCACCAGCAUCUCCCUGAGGGGAGCUGUCACACAUCUGGUGCCCCAGGUUUUAUGUCUAUGAGGCAGUUCAAGAUGGAAACCUAGGACAAUCAUGAAUUCACCUCUUCGAGACAAUCUCACCAUAAACCCCAGGCCCAGUGCAGCUACCCACCAUCAGGAGGAAGCUCACAAACCCAGAGCUUCUCUCUGAGUAGCCAGGAGAGAAGUUCUUUUGUACACUACGUAAGGCACCUCAGCUUUUAAGACCUGCACCUGAGAGAUGAGCCCUCCAGGCACCUGGCUUUCAAAACCAACAGGCUGCAGCCAUGGGACCCAGAAGCCUGAAGUGAAAGGAAAAUGGCUCUUAAAGAGCUCGUGAGCACUCACUCAUCACAGGACCCAGCACAGAAGCGCAACUGUCUGAAAGAUGCCCAGGUUCUAUGUGAAGAAAGUCCAUCAUCUACUGAUCUUAAGGUGUUGGCCAGAGAGGCAGGGGAUACUCUCUGGGGAAUGGAAGCUGAGGCUUUACUUACCCCAGACAAGGACAAUGUAUCGCAGCGGAAUGAAGUACAGGAUGACUGUGAACGCACAGAGGGCUACAAUGGCCAGCCAGCUUAAGAAUGGGACGGUCCAGUUGAAAGUACUGAAUGAGAAAUCAAACACAUCAGCAAUCUGAGCACUUCAUACUUUUCUCAAAGAUGAAAAUGAAUGUGACUACAGAUCUAGUAAAGAUUUAUUUCUUUUGGGAAGAGAUGCCAGUGGUCUUGGGCUUUCCUGAAUAUAGGAUCUAGGUAAGGGGUGUUGACAUCAACCCCUCCACGUUGGCUGAGGUGACUUCAGGGUGUAAAGUCGUCAUACUACUUGGGUGACUUCCUAGGGUUUAAAAAUCUUUUUCUACUUCUAAAACUAGUACUCAAUCUUGUUUUCUCCAACUUCUCAUAGAGGAGAAUGCCCCUGGGUCUACCAUUCUUUCUUCUGUGAACUCUCACAUAGGAUUACCAACACUGGAAAUAAAAUAUCGCCAGCAGUUGUCUGUAGACCUAAAUCUUAACACUGUUGUGGAAAUCCUCAGAACUUUAGAAAUCCUUAGAAAAAUACUUUCACUUCAGCUGUGUUUCAGAUGGAACUAGAAGUCAGCAAGGGAAAAUUUUGUAAAAACUUUGUUCCCAUCAUCGCCCUCCUCCCAGCAGUGCAUAGAUAAUUAGGAAGUAAAGCCAGCAUUAUCUGCUGUUCUCCCUGCAUUGUUUCAGCAAAGGAGAACAUGGCACAGUUGAAGACUACAAAGGAAGUUGAAGCUGGAAAAGGGUGGGCUUUUGAUAAUGUAGAGGGUUAGAGCCAGGGAUGGAUGCAAGACUGAGUAUUGACAGGGAUAAAACAUCAGAACAAAGAACAAAAGUGGGAUCAACGAACAGAAGGAGAAGUUAUACAAAAUAGUACCAAGAAGAUGGGAGGACUUCAAUGGGACAAAAAGGAAAAACCAUGACAGAAGGCAAACAGAACAUGGAAAGAACAGAUAUUUUCAGGCUUUUUGUGCAGAACAUCCGUAGUAAGUCUCUGAUAGUUUUUAAGAGAGUGACAAAAUUAUAAACAGACUCCCUGCGUGGAGCCUUUGAGGUCAGGUAUAUGAGCCGUGUCUCCACUUACAGGCACACUUCUGCCUCAGUGCUCGGCCUCCAAGGAGGAACUAACGUAUGUUUGAGUGACUCUUUAGCAUAAUUUAAUGAAAACAACCAAAAUAAGUAGCAAAUCUGUGUUCAAAGAUUCUGUUAUGUGACUUUAGGUGGUUGACCUCUCUGAGCAUCAGCUUUCCUGGUAUAAAAUAGGGACAGCUUUCACUGUAUCCAGAAAGACUGGUAGCGAUGGCAGCAUGUUUACGUGAAUCGAGGUGAUGUUAUUUUAGAGCCAUUAAGCUCCAGAAGUACUGUACAGCACUUCUUAGCAGUGAGAAGGGCCCCAAAGACACUUGGAGAAAAUAUUGAAAUUGUACAUGAUAUGGAUAACUGUCAGUGUUUAUUUCUUCUCAUUUCCUGGUAAUGGAUGCUCUAUUCACCCGGACUGGGUUUUUCCAGAGAAGUCUGUAAUCCAAUAAAGGAUGUUUGUCAAGAGAUUUUUCUCAUGUACUACCCUUCAGCCUAAUACUUAAAGAGUCAUUCCUUAACUUUGUGGCAUAUGACUUGCUUUUUGUCUUUCUCUAGGUCACAUCUCCUAAAUUUUUUGAUCCAACCGGGUUGUCUUAUUUUCAGUAACUCUUGGGAUCUGGCUUUUCUGUCCUGUUUUUUAUGUCCUAUGGCCAGAGUGAGCAUCCUGUAAUUGUCACCAGGUAAAGGAGCAUGCCUUCCCUCCUCACUGACGCCUGUAGUUCCCUUGCUUCUGCCCGCUGUGGAGAGAACAGAAGGCUGAGGGUCUGUGCGCUGUCCCGUGGUUGAGCUCAGAGCCAUCCGUCACACCAUCCUCACGAGGAAAACCCUCCUCCUGGGCAGCCUCACUGAAGUGCUCCCUGUGUUCUUAUUCCUCUUGGAAGGAUAAAUGGCAAUGAAUACCAGUGUAGCUAAUGUCAGAGGAAAAAAGACCGCCCUUUUUAUUUCCACAGUGCAUCAUGGAAUCUAAAUCUAGAAUGUGAUCCUAUACCAUUCCCCACCAAGAGAUGCUAUUCAAGAAAGUUCUGGGAGGAUUAUUUCAUAACAAGAUGUAAUUAUGGAGACUUCCAUUUUGUACUUAAAGAUUGCAUCUAAAUCUGCUUUCUAGAUAGAUCCAUUUUAUCCAAUGUGACUCCAGGGGAGUUUCUCUCAUUUUAGUAGUCCAAAGAUGAUUAUGCAGAAGAGAGUUCCUACAAGACUCACUAGAUUCUAGGCUAUGUUCUUGUACCUCAGCCUACACCUCUAUCUCUGUCAACCCCUUAGAAAGUUCGACCAAAUCCAGUUUUCCCCACAGCUGGUCCACAGCCACGACCUGGUUAUUUCCUUCAACUGGCCAUGGUCUUUUCCAGUACCUGUCUGAGGUCUCCUAACACCCAGAGUCACAAAGAAGCCUCGCCCCUUCAGGCACUCACAGUCCUGACCUCAGAGCUGACCCGGAGUCUUCUGCUAUAAAUGAGAUAUUCCUGUCAGAUAGUCCACACACUGUACCUCAGGGAAAGGACAACACCCAGUAGGGAAAUGCCCCAUUUAGGACUUUACACUCUGCUUCUGCAGAAAGGUUGUGGAGAACAAGGAAACAUUUCUUAGAGAUGGAAAAACACGAAGAAGAAGAAAGAUGUGGAAAUCAGUCUUUAGAAGUCUGAUACUGAAUGUUGCUUAAAAGUCCCAUUUGGGAGUCAGAGGGAGGCUGUUGUGUCUAAUGUGAGAAAGUGGAAACUCAGCACCUAUGCAUAUGUGGAAAUGUAUUAAAAAUUAUACAAAAUAAAAUGCAUUAUGCCUUGAAACAUGAAAGGCACCAGAUGAAUGACCCACACCUUUAGUUUAAAUAAUUUACUCCUUUCAAUUUCUGUGUAUGCCCAAGCAUCCAAAUCUGCCGCACACUUUUGGUUAUGAAUAAUAAACAAUGAAUAGAGAUAUGAAACUAGAAACAUAUAGGCUUAUCCAGGUAUAAAGCACCCCUUCUUGAACAGACCAUUUAGAAAUUAUUAUGCAGGCCAAUUUUCAUGUAGUUUAGUGGCAUGAGCCCUUAGUAUACUUUUUACUGAUUAUUAAUUAUAAAUCUACCUUACCAUUUUUAUAAUUAAAGUUGUUUUAAAAUAUAUAUUAGUAUAUAAGAUAAAGUAAAAUGCAAAUUAUGUUUCUUAAUUUUACUUUUGUUCUCUGUGAUUCUCUAAUUCCUAACUUUUAAAUUAUAAAAAUUGUUUAUUUUCUAAAUGACAAAGUAUUAGUUUACUUCAUCUAUAAUUAUGAUCUCAGCUAGUUAGAAUUGAAAGAAUAUUUUCCAGGGUGCUGUUUAUAAUAUUUUUCUAAUUUAACUUUAUUGAUGAAACUGUAACUUGACCAAUAAUAAAAUACCGGUGUGCCUUGA